rnacentral:rRNA from 1 species
UACGAAGGGGGCUAGCGUUGUUCGGAAUUACUGGGCGUAAAGCGCACGUAGGCGGAUUUGUAAGUCAGGGGUGAAAUCCCGGGGCUCAACCUCGGAACUGCCUUUGAUACUGCAAGUCUCGAGUCCGGAAGAGGUGAGUGGAAUUCCUAGUGUAGAGGUGAAAUUCGUAGAUAUUAGGAAGAACACCAGUGGCGAAGGCGGCUCACUGGUCCGGUACUGACGCUGAGGUGCGAAAGCGUGGGGAGCGAACAGG